AUUACCAAUAAUAAAACAGAAAAGUCCUGUGAAGGGAGCAAAGACUUUAUCUCAAGGUGGAAAUAAAGGUUUAGAGACCAUCCGCAAGGUUUUUACCAACUCCGUUGGCUUUGGGAUCAGAACUGCUUUGGGAAAAGUUUUCCGCAAGCCACCACCAGGUUCACGGGGACAUAGAAGUGUGAAAUCUGUGAAGAAAGCAACAAGUCAGCUUAAUGAGAAAUCAAACCAUGCCAAGACUCUGAAAGACUUUGAGAGAAAACAGGAAAAGUGUCCUAUCAGGCCGACAGUGUCUUAUGAAAGUUUGGAGAAGCUUAACUCACUAAAAUAUAAGCAACAGAGACACUGGCGUAGUGCAGAAGUUUUAACAAACACCAAGCCAUGGGUUGCAGUGCAAAAAGAAACAGCUAGAUGGGUGGAACAUGGUGGUUGGGAGGAUCCCAACAGAUCUUCAGAUUGUGAUAGUAUUUUCUCACUGGAUUCACUGUCAUCAGCUUAUGCUACAGCUCUGGCUGAGCAACUUCAGCAGGAGGAAUGUGAUUCCAGUGACGCUGAAAGUGAAGACAGUCAGAUGUCUCAAGAUUCUCUUGUUAUGGAGAGCAGCGGGAAGCAUAUGACUGCCAGACCAGUGCUGAGGUUUAAAAAAGUUCCAAGCCACUUAACCACCCCUACAGUACCAGCUUCAUGCAGCUCUCAGGCAAUCGACAAUAAAGAGGUGAUGAGAAUAUCCAAAGAUGUACCUGCAGAGGUUUUCUGGAGCCUUAAUGGUAGUCAGAAGUCGAAAACUGAGAACAGCCCAGGCAUGGCUAAAGAGCCUUCACACUUCUCUUGUCUAGCGUCUGAAUCUAGACCCUGUAGCAUUGCAAGUAUCAGAGACACAGAGAAUCCACUUGCUCUUACUGAUGCUUGGUCAUCUACUGAUGCAGCAGACAGUCCUAGAAUCAUCAUGCCUUCAGGACACUUGCUCAAACAGGAUCCACACACACUUAUAGAGAGCAGUAGAUGCCAAAGCUCUACUAGUCUGGAUCUGUCAGACAACAUGAAUGUCUCAGAAAGCCAGAGCUCACCUCGUUCUGACUCCACUCAGGAUGAAAAUACAACACUUGAAGAACAAAACAGCACAUCCUUUGAAAAUACCCUGUUGUUAGAGAAUGAUCUCAAUUUUAUCCCAGAACAGGAGAUGGAUUUUAAGGAACGGACUACCAGUGCAGAACCAUGUACAACUCAGACAGUCUGUGAUUCUACAGAUACCAGUUCAAAUGGGUUAGCACAUCCAAAUAAACCAACCACUGGAAAUGAACCACUGAAUCCCACUGUGAUUAAAGCACUGCUGAUCAACUCGUGUUCCAACGUUGGUGAGAUCUCAGCAAGUACCACUUGCUUCCCAGUUAACUCUAGUAGGGAAGAUUCACAUGUUAGAGAGGACCUAUCAUCAUAUCCAAUACACCCUGCAGAUUGUUCUCUGAAGUCAAACAUAAACCUGACAAUGGGUUAUCAGGUUUCAACAUGCGACAACGCCAGAGAUCCAGAGGUUAAGAACUCUAAAGCAGUGCAGAUUAUAAACGAAUCGCACAGCACUUUAAGCACUGACAAUGGCACAAUCACUGGACACUAUGAAGAAGAAAAUAAGUAUUUCUAUACAAAACAGUGCACAGAAAUGGCUUUUACAACAGAUACCAAAAAUUAUGCAUUGACAAUAGAACAAUCAGAGAAGCGAGAUGUAGUAGGUAAUAGAUUUGGCACAGAUGGUGAACACUUUGGGAAUGAGGCACUCACUGGAACAUGCAAAAUGAAAGACUCUCACGCAGGCUUUGUGGGAAAUGUGAAACUUCCAAAGAAAAGCAAUGAAGAUGUUUCAGACACUGAGACAGCACUUUUAAAUAUAGAUCAGGAACAGUUGUCUGCUUGUUCAACUAUUAAUGGAGAAUCUGUAAAAAAUACAUCUCUUUUGGAAAACUGGCUAACAGCUGAUACGAUGGAAAACUCUGAUAAAGAGCUAGAAGACAAAAAAAUUAAAAAUGCACCAUUAGCCAGGGAUGAUCACAAGACUUUAAUCGGCAAAGAUCACAUUAAUACUUUUAGAAAUGACAGCAGUGUAUGCAAUAGUGGGCUGACACAAACAAAUUGCACUAGCCUGAAAUCCUUGAGGAGUUCAGAGUUUGAAAACAUUAUAGACAACAGUAAAGAGGAUAGAAAAGAUGCAUGCAAGAUUAUGGAGGGAGAGGCCAACAACCGAUAUUUUCAAAUGAGCGACUCAGCAAUUAAUGAUAAAAUAUCAGAGG
ensembl:lncRNA